rnacentral:rRNA from 1 species
AUUGAACGCUAGCGGGAUGCCUUACACAUGCAAGUCGAACGGAGUGGCGAACGGGUGAGUAAUGUACCGGAACGUGCCCAGUAGCGGGGGAUAACUACGCGUAAGCGCAGCUAAUACCGCAUACUCUUGGCGCGGCCGAUACCGGAUUAGCUAGGUGGUGGGGUAACGGCUCACCAAGGCGACGAUCCGUAGCUGGUUCGAGAGGACGACCAGCCACACUGGAACUGAGACACGGCCCAGACUCCUACGGGAGGCAGCAGUGGGGAAUUUUGGACAAUGGGGGAAACCCUGAUGCAGCCAUCCCGCGUGUGCGAUGAAGGCCUUCGGGUUGUAAAGCACGUUCAGCAGGAAAGCGGUACCUGCAGAAUAAGCACCGGCUAACUACGUGCCAGCAGCCGCGGUAAUUC